GCCCUCUUAGUGUAACGGAUAGCACGAAUGUCUACGGAACAUUUAGAAGAGGUUCAAAUCCUUUAGAGGGCG
rnacentral:tRNA from 1 species